rnacentral:lncRNA from 1 species
GUGCAUUCUGACGAAGAACAGCAAAGGUAAUCCAAUUUUUCUAAUAGUAAUUCUGAGUUUAGUGAGACCCAAACUUGGUGGGUGUCAAAUUAGCUAGGCUGUGAUGGCCGAGCUAUGUACUCAGAAUAUUGCAAAAUGUGCUAUCGCCAAAAAGCUAUUUUAAAAUCGGACAUAGCGAUUGCAUAAAGGAGUUCUGUAUCUAUAAUUCUUAAAAUAAUUGUUAUGUAUUUUGUCAACGUUUAUCAUGAGUAAUUUAGUAAAUACACCGGAUGUUUUCGGUGGGUAUGCUAGUUCUAAACAUCACAUGCUAAUGUAAAAGCUGGUUUUUGAUAUAAAUAUGAACUUGAUUGAACAAAACAUGCAUGUAUUGUAUAACAUAAUGUCCUAAGACUGUCAUCUGAUGAAGAUCAUCAAAGGUUAGUGCUGCAUUUAGCUGUGGUUUGGGUUUAUGUGACAUAUAUGCUUGCUUGGAAAAUGGCUGUGUGAUUAUUUGUGUUUAUGUACUCUCCUAACAUAAUCUAAUGUUUUGCUUUUGCUGUAAAGCCUUUUUGAAAUCGGACAAUGUGGUUAGAUUAACGAGAGUCUUAUCUUUAAAAUGGUGUAAAAUAGUUGAUUGUUUGAGAAAAUUGAAUUGUGGUAUUUUAGUUGGUUUUGUUUUCGCACCGUGCGAUGCCAUUGGCUGUUGGCUAGGGGUUCCGUGUCCUCAACCGGUUAACUCACCUCCAGACGAGCUUCAAUGCCAUACAACUCUCCUUCCGUGGCCUCCAAAUGCUCUUAAAGGCAAAUAAAACUAAAUGCAUGCUAUUCAACCGAUCAUUGCCCGCACCUGCCCGCCCAUCCAGCAUCACUACUCUGAACGGCUCUGACUUAGAAUAUGUGGAUAACUACAAAUACCUGGGUGUCUGGCUAGACUGUAAACUCUCCUUCCAGACUCAUAUUAACCUCUUAUGGCUAGGGGGCAGUAUUUUCACGGCUGGAUAAAAAACGUACCCGAUUUAAUCUGGUUACUAAUCCUACCCAGUAACUAGAAUAUGCAUAUACUUAUUAUAUAUGGAUAGAAAACACCCUAAAGUUUCUAAAACAGUUUGAAUGGUGUCUGUGAGUAUAACAGAACUCAAAUGGCAGGUCAAAACCGGAGAGAUCCUUUACAGGAAGUGGCCUGCCUGACCAUUUCUGGAACUUCUUUGCCAUCUCUAUCUU